ensembl:lncRNA
GAGAAAAGGAGCAUUUCAUUAUAGAAAGUUUUGCCAGGGAACUGACAAAGGAGAGCUCUAGAAUCCCUUCCAUUGUGCUGAUAAGGGCAUAGCUGUGAAGCAGUUAUGGCCAAGCUGGCAGCAGCUCAACAUCACGCAGCUCAAAACCAUCCCUUCCAAGGUGGGAUGAGAGAACUGGAAGCAAAACAGAAUUUAUGGGUUGAAGUAAAAACUAUUUUCUAAGUAGGAAAGGAAAAAUUGAAAGAAAAAUGUAGUGAUAACAAUAUAUAUAAAUAUACACGGUGCAAUUAUUCCCCAUUCACCAACUGACACACAGCAACAAUACAAUUUCCCACGAACUGAUGCCCUGCUACCAGUGCAACACCUCACAACCUUCUGGCUGACACCCAAGAAACAACACAACUGCCCACUGAUCAUUCCACAAGGAUUACGUGCUUGUUGCUGAACAACAUAUAGGUUUAAUUAUUUCAGAACAAGUUCUCCAUCCCAACAAAGUUCUUGCACUACAGAAGGCUUCAUUCUGCUUUGCUGAUUCACUGUGAGACACUGUUUUGUACUGACAAUAUUACAGAAAGGAGAGAGCAGAUCUUUCUUCAGGAAUACUCAAAUUCAUGAACAGUUUUUUGCAGGAACCUAUGUCAACUUUGCACGAAAGGUCGCUUUGACUGUACUGGAAGGAAUCAUCUUACAUACAACUUAGAAGGAAGGCUUCUGGCUUGAUCCAGCUAUAGAAAUGUUUUUCAAAGCUUCAUGUCUAUCCUGGAAACCUCUCUUCACUCUCUUUUAAUGAAGAUUACUGUUUUCCAAACACUGGAUCUCAUGUGUAUCCCUCCAGACUCUUUCAUCCUGUGUUCUCAGCUUCUUGUCUUCUGGGUCCCUCUCUCAGUCUCUGCAGACACUAAGUCACCUGGUACUCUCUGCCUGAAUACUAUGAGUUCAGAGAGGACUGGACAGUCCAUUUACAAGGACUCUUCACAGCAUAUAAUUUCUUUGAUGCUGUCUGUUAUUUUGAUGAAAUGCAACAGAUCAGGAAGAAGCAGUAAAUAUCUUUCAGAUGCUCUCUGACAGAUUAGGAACACAACUAUAAAAUGUGUGUAUUUUACUGGUUCCAUAUCUUAGUAUUUAGUGCAGAAUAUUGCUCAAAAUUCAUAAGAUCUCUUAAAUGGUAUUUCUAUGUAAUUUUCACUCAGUUGCAGCCCAGCUGAGUUGACCAGAUUCACAACGACUAAUCACAAAGUUUACUGUAGGCUAACAUCACAGAAAUCCGGAUCCUAUUUAUGUGCAAGGAAAAAUAGCAUCUAUAUUAAAAAUUGGGAUGAAGAUCACCAGCUAUUCAGUGCUAUUUAAAUUUGUAAAUCAAACACACAGAUAUAAGGAACAAAUGAUUCAGUAGAAAGCAGCAGUGUUUGCUUUUUCUUGUAAAUAGUCCUAAACAAUGCUACAGGAACUUCCCAUUACCUUCAAAUUAAUCUAAAUACAAGGAAUUAGCAGUGGUCUCAAUGAGCGUUUAUGGUUUGCCUUGACAUUUUCAUAUGAAGUCAAUGUCUUGUAUUUAAAUACCCCAUUUCCAUUCACAAGCAGCAGCUGUUUAACCUCAUGCAAUCAGCAGGAAGUCCCUUUUAACAUCAAAGUAUUUCAUUUAUAUAAAUGAGAUGCAUAAGGUGAAGUCUAGCAAGGCUGCAUUAUUUAUGUUAACUGAGGUGCUAUGUCUGAGAAGUGUGAAUAUUUUAGCACUUAAAGAUUAUAUUUAAAGAAAAAAAUAUAUCCUUCUUAAUUCUUAGAGGGGAGGCCUUGGGCACAAAGAAGGAGGUUGGCUGUCAGUUGUAUAGAAAUGCUUAGGAUCACCCCUACUUAAUUCCUAAGUAGUUCAUGGCUUUUCACUUUUUUCCUGUGCUUUCACUUAAUAGCUAUGGGCCUGAUUUUCAAUUUUUUCAAAUUUCCAGCACCAUUUCUCACCCCUAAAAAAUUUGGCAAUCCUUCUAUAAGUGUUCUCAAUCUGAUGUGUCACUUUUGUAUCCUUGGAAACAAACAGCAGUUUUGAAGUAAUAAUCAUUCUUACACAGCUAUAUCAGCAAUUCUCUGUUUCUCAGUAGAUAUUAUAACCUAAGGUGUCACACUUUGUUUCCCAGUGUAUAACCAGAUUAUGUAUGUGGAUUUACCACAGCAACUACAAUUCCAGUACAGCUUUUGAUAUACUGUAUUCGCAUGAUGCGUUGACGUUGUUUCCUUAUAUAUGGUGGGUUGUCUCAAUCAUAAAUAUGUGAGCAAUCUUUUCACCACUUACUCUACAAUUCUUUGAAGAAACAAUCCUGAUGAUAUCGUUUUAAGAGGAGACCCCUAUGUGAUAUUAAUUCUUUGAAGAAACCUUCCUCUGUUUCAAAGCACUGACUGAUAGUAACUCAGUAUGACCUUUUCCCCUACCUUUGAGAUGUCAGAGGUACCUGAAAAGUCAGUAACGAAAAACCAUCUUCAGAAGUUGGAAAAAGAAAAUGAGAAAGUAGUAUUCCAUCUCUUACUAAAAUGUGCAUACAUUUUAGGCAAUAAAGUGAAAAUGACUUCUGGAAGAUCUGCAACACAUUCCCUGGAGCAGGAAACUUACUGUCAUUACAAUUAAUCUCACAGUGUACAAAACAGGAAUAAUGGAAAAUAAGGAGCUGAAUAAGUAGCCUUAUAUACAGUCUUUUCAAUGAGAUACAUAUCCUGUAAAGGGUGUAUUGAAUCCUCUUGGCUCUUCUCAGUGGUGCUUAGCAAUAGAACUAGGGAUAAUGGCCUAAAACUUGAAUAUAAGAAAUUCCAUACAAACUUUCAGAAGAACUCCUUCACAGUAAGGGUGACAGAGUACUGGAACAGGUUGCCCAGAGAGGUUGUGGACUCUCCUUCUAUGGAGAUAUCCAAGAUCCAUCUGGAUCUCUAUCUGUGCCACCUAUGGUAGGGAACCUGCUUUAGCAGGGGAGUUGGACUCAAUGUUCUUUUGAGGUCAACCCCUGUGAUUCUGUGGCUGCUUAACAGAAGGCCAUGGGGGAAAAUAAAUAAUAUAAAAGAAAAUGAAAUGAAACAAAACAAAACAAAACAAAAUAAAGCAGGAAAGCAACAGCUGGAUCUAGAUAAAUUGUUUCCAAAGAAACAUAGUGGGAAGGGGAAGGUGAUCCAUGGCAACAGCUUCUUUCUCUGCUGCAUUACACAGUGAUGCAGGAAUGGAUCAAAAAAAUUACCAGUGCUGCAAACAGGUGAAUAAAAAUAAAAAUAAAUAAAAAUAAAAAUAAAUUAUGCCCAGAGAUUUGAGAGGAUCUGUUGUAAACACACCUACCAAGAUCACCAUGUGUAGGCAACGAGCAAGCUAAACAUACAGGUAGACAGAAUGUUGCAUGAUUGAUUUUCUCUGAAAAGCUUAGGUUUUAAAUAAAUACUUGUCUUUAAGAAGGCUGUCUGGUCAGUUUAUUAACAAGAUGUUACUGUUUCUGAAAAGAACAGAAGUGCAAAACAGCACUUAGACCCACUAAGACAAACUCUGAUAGUGUUGGGCCAUUGCAGCCCAGGGCUGUGCAUCAGAGAGACACAGCGUUUUCCCUCUGAGGAAAAAAAAUAUUCACAUACCAAGAUCUUAGAAAGGAGAUUAAGAAGUCUCAGAGGUGCAGUUAGCUUAUUAAUAACAGCAACUUCUUGUGCCCCAAUGUGCUGCUUAAAAGAAAAACUAUUGCAUUUUUUAUCUAUCAUAGUAUAAUAAUAAUCUGUUAAUAGAUUCCAAAUGAGCUAAUAUUAACAAAAGGAAGUACAAAGCAACAAUAUAAUGUUUAGCAGGAAUGAUAAGAAUGAAGUCAAAGAAAGGCCUGCUUUUUUAUUCGGUCAAAUGGAGAAAGAGAAGCUAAUGGUGCUUGGAAGGCUGAAGCAUUUAAUACUAUUUAAUGGAGCCUACACUCAAAGUGUUAGCGACCUACCAUUAACAAGAAAUGUAAAAAGUGUGAGAUGUAAGUGGAAAAGAUCAAGAUAAGAAGUAUUAAGAGACACCAAACAUUUAUUCAUAAGUAAAUAGAGCACAUAGGGAACUAACUGAAGCAAACACCUUUGAGAGCUUAAAGCAAUUUUCAAUUUCUAGAAAACUAAGAAAAAUGGAAUGGUCUUCAAAAGUGGAAGAAAAAAAUGGCGCAAAACAUUUCAGAAUAUUUCCCCUUAUCCAGAAAAAAAUCUUGGAAUGAAUAACCCAGCUAUCUAAUUUUAAGCAGUUGGGAGAUAGGAAGGAAAUAAGCAACAGCCAACAUACAGGUGUAAGAGAAAAAUACUCUUUAUUCUUAUCUUUAUGGAUAACAGUUAAAACUACAAAUGCUGGACAUAUUCAUGUUGGUCUUUUGAUGUUGUUUCAUACAAGACACUUCAUAAGCACAUUAAAGAAACGAAGUAUAGAUGAAAUUGUUAUAAACUUGUGCCCAGCUGGUCUGCAACCUCAGGGACAAGUCACCAGUAGUCAGCAGAUCAAUUAAUGUAUCGAACAACAUUUAUUAGGACUUUUUCCUGCUGAUGAAAAGGGAAUAUCUCUUUUAAAAUGUGUAAGCAGGACAAAUUGGAGAGAUGAAGUCAAUAUCCAGUUUCAUAAGAAACAAUUAAAAUGAAAAUACAUCUGAAAACAAGUAGAAAAAAACAUGAUGUUUUCAGAAGGGACAAGGGCAAAGUGCUGGACUGUGGUGUGGCUGCCUGAAAUGAGGACUGGAAAGCACUGGCUGGCAGAGAGAUUUAUUGCCUUUGCUGAUCAGAAACUGAGCAUGAAUUUCUUUAGCUGCUGAGAAACAAUGGAAAUCUAUAUGGAAAAAAGGAAAUAUGAGUUCAGGCACAGAAAAGCAGUCAUACAGUUCUACUCAUGCUUGCUAGAAAAACAUCCAGUCUGGGGCACUGUACUUCUGGGGAGAUGUUGAUUGAGCUAAUCAGAAACAGUCCAGAGAAGAGCAAAAGUGAGAAUUGAGAUCAAUCUGAGAACUUCUGAAGAAUGUGUUAUUCUUUAUUUUAAAUAUAAGAAAGUUCUGGGAGAUGUGCUAAGAGGUACCAGAAUGAUGAAGGUACUGGAUGGCAGUACUCAUAGCGCAAGACAAGUAGAGAAAAGUCAGCAAGAUCAGGAUAUGUAUUAAGGAACAUUUUCUAACAAUGGAUCAUGGAAUCAUAGAAUGGCCUGGGUUGAAAAGGACCACAAUGAUCAUCAAGUUUCAACUCCUCUGCUAUGUGCAGGAUCGCCAACCACUUGACCAGACUGCCCAGAGCCACAUCUAGCCUGGCCUUGAAUGUCUCCAGGGAUGGGGCAUCCACAACCUCCUUGGGCAACCUGUUCCAGUGUGUCACCACCCUCUGAGCGAAAAACUUCCUCCCACUAUCUAACCUAAACCUCUCCUGUCUUAGUUUAAAACCAUUCCCCCUUGUCCUAUCACUAUCCACCCUUGCAAACAGCUGUUCUCCCUCCCGUUGAUAUGCUCCUGUAAGAGAUUAUUCUUUUAUAUGAUUGACUCAAAGUUUGCUGAGGAACAAGUCCAGGCAAGUCCUGGGCAAAGGUAGAGAAAUCUUCUGUCUGGAGGACACUGAUGGACAGGUCCUGGCUAAGGGUUGUGAAAUCCUUUAAAGAGCACAGAUGGACAAGGCCAGGGGCAACGAGAGAGAGAUAACCGCUGAUAAUGGCAGGGAAAGGGUCUUUUGUGUGAACUUAUCUUGAGGAAGAUGGCCAUCUCAGGAGGCACGCACAUGACUCUUGCUCAAGCACCCAGGGAUGUCACGUAGGCAGGAAAAAAAGGAGGAUAAAAGAGGGUCCAAGAAACGAUGGACUAGGGGGUUUUCUGCCAUCAGAUCCUUCACCAUGACAGACUUGAGAGGGUUUCUGCCAUCAGAUCCCUCACCACAACGGACUCGAGGUUUCUGCCAUCAGAUCCUUCACUACGGACCGUAUGCUGACAGACUUCCCUGGGCCUGCUACCUGAGACCUGUUGCUUCCUCCCAGACUUACUCUGCGGCCUCUUCCUGGACCCACCCGGUACCUGCACCCUCUCGUUGCCCAAGACCGGCCUUGCUGCUCCUGCCCUUCGGCCUCGUACCAUCAGAACGUCGUGCAACGGGACUGCUGUCGGAUCCUGGUGGUGACUAUCCCCGCUUUACGCAAUUCUUGCUUCUUUCUAUCUUUUCUAUCGCUCGCCCUCCCUUCCCCAUCACCCCAAUCCGUAAUAGUGUCCGUCCUCCCCUUUCUUCAUCUCCCUUACUAACAUUUGUAAUAAACUGGUCGG